UCACGCCGAUACUCUCCGCCCGCUGAUAACAGAUUUUCAAAAUAACACCACGAAGUAGCCAACAGCGUGCUGAGCACUCGACGAACGCACAGCAAACUGAACGCAGAGAACUCGCCAAACACACAGAAAAACGCCGACAGCGGUGAGGGCUGUUCGGACGGGACCUCCGAGCGGCCCCACACACUCCCCUCAGCCCGGAGACAGCCAACGGGCGGGCGGCGCGGCCGGGCCAGGCUGUAUUACUUCUGGCAAAAGAAGAGAGGAAGGUUACUUCAGAAACAUCCGUAGUAAUUGGAGAUGAUUGCCUGUAAGGAUCUCCACUUGAAGCGACCGUCGCCAGAGGCUCUCAGCUCUCAAGAAUGAGCAUUAUCAAGGCUGCUGCCAACACAAGUUCACACACAAUGGGCCCAUCAGCUAACGAGCACAGAAUGAAUCUUCUCCCAUUUUUGGAUAAAGACAAAUGAGUGAUUGUGCACAGAGCUUAGCAUACCAGUUUACGGCUAUGUGAAACACAUUUGGAUGACUUCUGACUUAACGAAACUCAUUGUGGUCUGAAGCCUGCUUACACAGAUGGAGGCACGUUCUUACCAUACGCAGUCUGCGUUUUACUACAUUCUUACUGUUUUGAAGACAAAGUUGAGAAAAGAUGGCAAGCACUCUGCUGUACCUGGCCCUCUAAAAUGCAGUAAGGAGAAUAUACUGGAAUUUUAGAAAGCCUUUUUGUUAGAAAAUAGGUGGGAAAAAGCAGUUCUGUGUAAAUAAAUAAUUCGCUGCCA